rnacentral:rRNA from 1 species
UAAUACGUAGGGCGCAAGCGUUGUCCGGAAUUAUUGGGCGUAAAGAGCUCGUAGGUGGCUUGUCACGUCGGGUGUGAAAGCUUGGGGCUUAACUCCAGGUCUGCAUUCGAUACGGGCUGGCUAGAGGUAGGUAGGGGAGAACGGAAUUCCUGGUGUAGCGGUGAAAUGCGCAGAUAUCAGGAGGAACACCGGUGGCGAAGGCGGUUCUCUGGGCCUUACCUGACGCUGAGGAGCGAAAGCGUGGGGAGCGAACAGGAUUAGAUACCCUGGUAGUCCACGCUGUAAACGUUGGGCGCUAGGUGUGGGGACCUUCCACGGUUUCCGCGCCGUAGCUAACGCAUUAAGCGCCCCGCCUGGGGAGUACGGCCGCAAGGCUA